rnacentral:lncRNA from 1 species
AGUCAUAGAUCCUGGUUGCUCUCUCAUCUCACCAACUGAGCAUCUCUAUAGAUUUAUCUGUCAAGAGCCUGUUCAAGUGACCAAGAAUUGAAAAUAGUUGUGCUCAUUACCAAUAAUUGUUUUAUUUACAGGACAGAAAAAUGAAGAAAACUGAAAAGGGAAGGGAAGUAAAGCCAGGCUCUUCCUUGCGGCUGGCCUGAUGUCGUAGGAAAGAAUUCAUGUCCCAGAAUCCACUGUGGUACCACCAGCUCCGAGGCCUUAUUGGAGGAUUUUGAAAGCAAUGUGCUUCUCAGCACUGCGUGUGCUUGACUUUGGCAGUGGAGCCAUGCACGACCAAAAUCUUCCAUUCUGAACAAGGUCCAAAUGAAGAUAUCAGUGGGACACGCCGAGGAGUCCGA